AAAAAAGGGCUUCUGUCGUAGUGGCACACACAGGGCAACUCGAUUGCUCUGUGUGCGGAAUCGACAUCUAGAGAUUUCGGAAGCAUAAUUUCUUGGUAUUU
rnacentral:snRNA from 1 species